AGCCGGGCGGUCUUCGGAUCGCCCCAGCGGCGCCGGCACGUGCGCCGAGGCCAAGGGGACCCCGCCGCCUCCUCUAAUCGGCCAUCUGGACGGCGCUGGCUCCGCGGUGGACACCGCCAGGCUCCUCGACCUCGGGAUGCGCGAUUUUUUUCCUUUUGUCCCCAUCAUCACGCCCUGAUCGGCCGGUGCAGAAAAAAUGAG
rnacentral:lncRNA from 1 species